CAGUCGCCGCGGGAAUACAGAGGGUGCAAGCGUUAAUCGGAAUUACUGGGCGUAAAGCGCGCGUAGGUGGUUUGUUAAGUUGGAUGUGAAAGCCCCGGGCUCAACCUGGGAACUGCAUCCAAAACUGGCAAGCUAGAGUACGGUAGAGGGUGGUGGAAUUUCCUGUGUAGCGGUGAAAUGCGUAGAUAUAGGAAGGAACACCAGUGGCGAAGGCGACCACCUGGACUGAUACUGACACUGAGGUGCGAAAGCGUGGGGAGCAAACAGGAUUAGAGACCCCAGUAGUCCCUGUCUCUUAUAC
rnacentral:rRNA from 1 species